UAACAUUUGAUCCAAAUUGUUGUUCUGCAGAAAUCUAAAAACAGAAAUCGAGCACCGAUUGGGAAAACCAGAGAGGAAAAAGAAAAGUUUACUCUUCUGGAGCAAUACAACCAAAGGACCCUUGAGGCAUGCGCUUUAGCCAGUGACUUUCUCACUUCACAAACUGGACUUACUCCAGUGCCCACUCGGUCUCUUUCUGCUCCACCCCCUGGCAGUCCUCACAGAUCUUACUUUGUAUCUGACAACGAUAAAAAAAGUCUCAAGUUGCAGUCAGGACAAGCUGUGCCACAGAUUCGUCCUCAGUCUGCUGAACUACAGGGACUGUCUUCAGAGGAUUACCGCAGGAGACUGGGACUACAUAGACCAGUGACCUUUUUGCCAGGGGACCGCCUGUCUCAGGUGACCAGACGUGGUAUGCUCACUGACGUAAAGAGCAAAACUAAACAUCACAUGGUCAUCCAUAGUGAGGAACGGCAUGUUGAAAACAAGAGAAAGACAGAGAAAGAAUUGGAUGGAGGUUUUCCAGGAAGGACUGCUGCAGGAAGAGGGAUCCGCACGGAGCAGGCACGGGUGGAAAAGAGAAAGGUGGAACGGUCACAAUUUAGUAGACUACAAGACCAAGAAGACUCAGACAUGGUUUUGGCCGGACUUUCAGAAGCACAGGAUUAUGGUGCCACAGUGGAUGUUUCAGGCAUGGAGUGGAUAGACAAUCUGUCUGAGUGUGGCAGUAGCAACCUCAGCAAAAUAGACUGGGCAGCUAUUGAAAGGAUAGUGGCCAGCGAGGAAGACUGAGCUUGAAUAAGCAAUGCCAUGUUGACACUUGAUGAUAUAUCACCAUCAGGAAAAAAUAUACCAUAAGUGCCUGUUUUAUAUGCUUUAAAUCAACUGCGAUAAUAGAAAUUAUAGUUUACAUAAUUAAAUAUCUUCAACAGUGAUAUUAAAUAUCAUAAAAGUAUAUUUGUUAAUAAAGUAGGUCUAUAAUAAAUUACA
rnacentral:lncRNA from 1 species